GAGCUAUAUAACAUAGUAUGGAAAUUUUAUAGCCAUUGUCGACUGCUAGCUCCUUAGGUCUGAAAAAUGUGAGUACUGUCUUCAAAAAAGUCUACAUGGGAACCAUGCCAACAAUGUGGGACCAGGAAAAGCAAAUUGUCAGACUGAGACAAAACUGUGGAAAUGGAGAGAGAGGUGGAGAACUUAAGAUUUACACGUAGCAACGAUGCUCAGAUGGCAGCAAAAAUGCAGGAUAAGUAAGAGCCAUAACAAGGCACUGCUCUUCUCCAAGACAUCAGAACUUUUUAACAGAAUGGAUACAAAACUUUUAAGAGUCACUGUCUGGUGAAAGAUAUCCAAGGAAAAGAGACCCAGAGAGGGAGGAUUAAAGAACCAGCAUUACAAGAAGAUUGUUGCAGACCAUGUAAAUGUUCAGUCUGAAGAUCUUUAUGUGUUUUACAGAGAUAUAGAAGAUGAAAACAUAUGCUGCAUGACUGCCUAUUCCUACACCAAGGAGUUUCCCUAAGCAAGUAGUUUCCAUCUCCUUCUCAACUUGGUUUCCCUUUGCUUUAGCAAGAGUGUAUGACAGUUGGGAACAACAGCUGAUGCUUUGCCUGCUGCAUGUCAAGGACAGAAUGCAGCUCUUGCCUUCCUGGCAACUGAGAAGGCAGAUAAAAGGUAUAAAACCACCUCCUGCAGCAUUAAAUGUUUUCAUUUUCACUGGAUGAAGAAAACCCAAACAAACAAACAAUGGAAAAGGCUGCCAUUCAUUAUCUUUGGUCUUCAACAAACCAUUCUUCAUCAUCCUCAGUCUUCUGUUGCAAAUAGGAGCAAUUUUGUGAUCUUCCUUAUUCCUCUUCUCUGGGGACACAAGAGCAAGGAGAGAGUAGUCUUCUCAUCUCUAAAAAACUGUUUCCUCUACAAGCCAGAAGAUUACUUUAACUGUUCUCCUUCUGGUCCACUUCCUUUUGCACUUAGUACUUGGAAGAGCAUAGAACUGAUUUUAAGCACUGUAAGGAAAUAUUUGAGCCACAUUAUUCAUAUAAAUUAUUUUAUCUCUUGAUUUAUGUAAUUUGUGUGCCUGAAGUGGAUGAUUUGUUUCAUUGAGAUCACUAUAAGAAAAAAAACCCAAACAAUGUUAAAAUUAAGCAUUAAUAAUUCAUACAUUUUUUAGACAUUUGUUUCAGUUAAAUAAAAUAGAAAUGUAGCCACA